rnacentral:rRNA from 1 species
AGCGAACGCUGGCGGCAGGCUUAACACAUGCAAGUCGAACGCAUCCUUCGGGGUGAGUGGCAGACGGGUGAGUAACACGUGGGAACGUACCCUUCGAUCUGGGAUAACUUCGGGAAACUGGAGCUAAUACCGGAUACGCCCUUUUGGGGAAAGGUUUACUGUCGAAGGAUCGGCCCGCGUCUGAUUAGCUAGUUGGUGGGGUAACGGCCUACCAAGGCGACGAUCAGUAGCUGGUCUGAGAGGAUGAUCAGCCACACUGGGACUGAGACACGGCCCAGACUUCUACGGGAGGCAGCAGUGGGGAAUAUUGGACAAUGGGCGCAAGCCUGAUCCAGCCAUGCCGCGUGAGUGAUGAAGGCCUUAGGGUUGUAAAGCUCUUUUGUCCGGGACGAUAAUGACGGUACCGGAAGAAUAAGCCCCGGCUAACUUCGUG